rnacentral:ncRNA from 21 species
CCUCCCAAGCCUCUCGACGAUGCUCACAUGGGAGGG